UGGGGAAUUUUGCACAAUGGGGGAAACCCUGAUGCAGCGACGCCGCGUGAUUUAGAAGGCCCUCGGGUUGUAAAAAUCUUUUGUAUGGGAAGAAAAUGACAGUACCAUACGAAUAAGGACCGGCUAACUACGUGCCAGCAGCCGCGGUAAUACGUAUGGGGCGAGCUUUGUCCGGAAUUAUUGGGCGUAAAGGGUACGUAGGCGGUCUAUUAAGUCAGGUGUGAAAGCGUGAGGCUUAACCUCAUUAAGCACUUGAAACUGAUAGACUUGAGUGAAGGAGAGGAAAGUGGAAUUCCUAGUGUAGCGGUGAAAUGCGUAGAUAUUAGGAGGAAUACCGGUGGCGAAGGCGACUUUCUGGACUUUUACUGACGCUCAGGUACGAAAGCGUGGGGAGCAAACAGG
rnacentral:rRNA from 1 species